rnacentral:rRNA from 1 species
UGGGGAAUAUUGCACAAUGGGCGCAAGCCUGAUGCAGCCAUGCCGCGUGAGUGAAGAAGGCCCUAGGGUUGUAAAGCUCUUUCAGUGGUGAAGAUAAUGACGGUAGCCACAGAAGAAGCCCCGGCCAACUCCGUGCCAGCAGCCGCGGUAAUACGGAGGGGGCUAGCGUUGUUCGGAAUGACUGGGCGUAAAGCGCGCGCAGGUGGCCCGUUAAGUCGGCUGUGAAAUCCCCUGGCUCAACCAGGGAAGUGCAGUCGAUACUGGCGGGCUCGAGUCCCGGAGAGGGUGGUAGAAUUCCCAGUGUAGAGGUGAAAUUCGUAGAUAUUGGGAGGAAUACCGGUGGCGAAGGCGACCGCCUGGACGGGUACUGACACUGAGGCGCGAAAGCGUGGGGAGCAAACAGGAUUAGAUACCCCGGUAGUCC